rnacentral:rRNA from 1 species
UACGUAGGUGGCAAGCGUUGUCCGGAUUUACUGGGCGUAAAGAGCGCGCAGGCGGUCGAUCAAGUCGCGUGUGAAAGCCCCCGGCUCAACUGGGGAGGGUCACGCGAUACUGAUCGACUCGAAGGCAGGAGAGGGUAGUGGAAUUCCCGGUGUAGUGGUGAAAUGCGUAGAUAUCUGGAGGAACACCGGUGGCGAAGGCGGCAUCCUGGACCAAUUCUGACGCUGAGGAGCGAAAGCCAGGGGAGCAAACGGG